CCGGAUUGAAAUAUACUUUUAUUGAGCUUUCGACUCGGUACUUCGAGCCUUCUUCAGAAUACUGAGAUUAAAAUUACAUAUGUACAUUACUUAAUUAAAGUUUUGCGGUGUUGCUACGUUCCUGUAUACGUUGAGACCGUCUAAUUGGCUGUUCCGCGGUUGAUCUGAUUUCAUUGCUGGUUGAAGAAUGCGUUGUCACGGUUGAAUGAAUUUGGCUGCUAGGGAUGGCGUCAUUGGAAUGUUCGGAUUGUUGUGUUGCGGAUGUUGAAGGAAGUGUUAUUUGGAAGUUAGUAUUAGUCAUAGUAUCGUUGUUAUUAGUAGGACAUUUACGUGUUGUUUUAAGUUGUAAGUAAAUAGUGGGAAUUUCAACGUGUCGGUUAAUUGUAUUACCGUCUAUACUGUACCAUGCCUCUUUAAAUUCACGUGCGUGCUUUGUUUGUCCUCGUCCUAAUAGUUCGGUUUCUGUCCAGUUGAAGGUAUGGCAGUUGUCGUAUGUGUGUGCUGCAGGUAGUGAUUUAUAAUCGUAUCGUUUUAUGGCGUUUUUGUGUUCAGUUAUUCGUGUUUCAAUUUUCUUCGAGGUUUGACCUAUAUGUAUCGUUGUGGACAGUCUCUGCAAGGUAUCAUGUAUAUAGCAUUUUUUCUUUGUUUUGAUGCUGUUUUGUCUUUGUGUUUUGUGAAAUAUGACCUAAGUUUAUGUGCCGGUUUGUGUGCUACGUCAAUGUUGAAAGGUCGCAAUAAUCUGGCGGUCAUUUCAGAUGUACUGUUUAUGUAAGGUAGAGUUAUUCUUGUCUUUGAUUGUUCAGGUUGUUCGUCAGGUAUGUUACUCUGUUGUUUGUUACGUAUUUUUGUUAGUAUUUUGUUAACGAAGUUCCUAGGGUAGUUGUUUUUUAUGAAGGUCGAGA